rnacentral:rRNA from 1 species
CAUGCAAGUCGAACGAGAAGGUCAGCAAUGACCGGUAAAGUGGCGCACGGGUGAGUAACACGUGGGUAACCUGCCCCCAGGCCAGGAAUAACCCGCCGAAAGGCGGGCUAAUACCAGAUAAGACCACAAGAGCAUAUGCUCAAGGGGUCAAAGGAGGAAACUCCACCAGGGGAGGGGCCCGCGGCCCAUUAGUUAGUUGGAGGGGUAAAAGCCCACCAAGACGAAGAUGGGUAGCUGGUCUGAGAGGAUGAUCAGCCACACUGGGACUGAGACACGGCCCAGACUCCUACGGGAGGCAGCAGUGGGGAAUAUUGCGCAAUGGACGAAAGUCUGACGCAGCAACGCCGCGUGAGUGGUGAAGGCCUUCGGGUUGUAAAGCUCUGUCAGGCGGAAAGAACAGACGGAAGUCAUGACGG